rnacentral:rRNA from 1 species
GACAGAGGUGGCGAGCGUUGUUCGGAUUUACUGGGCGUAAAGGGCGCGUAGGCGGUCGUGACAAGUCACUUGUGAAAUCUCCGGGCUUAACUCGGAACGGUCAAGUGAUACUGUCGGACUAGAGUACAGAAGGGGCAACUGGAAUUCUCGGUGUAGCGGUGAAAUGCGUAGAUAUCGAGAGGAACACCUGCGGCGAAGGCGGGUUGCUGGGCUGAUACUGACGCUGAGGCGCGAAAGCCAGGGGAGCGAACGGG